rnacentral:rRNA from 1 species
UGCCAGCAGCCCCGGUAAUACGUAGGGUGCGAGCGUUGUUCGGAAUUACUGAGCGUAAAGGGCGCGCAGGCGGAGGUGCAAGUCGGAGGUGAAAGCCCGGGGCUCAACCCCGGAGGGUCUUUCGAAACUGCAUCUCUAGAGAGGGUCAGGGGCCGGCAGAAUUCCUGGUGUAGAGGUGAAAUUCGUAGAUAUCAGGAGGAAUACCGGUGGCGAAAGCGGCCGGCUGGGGCCACUCUGACGCUGAGGCGCGAAAGCGUGGGGAGCAAACAGGAUUAGAUA